UACGGAGGAUGCGAGCGUUGUCCGGAAUUACUAGGCGUAAAGGGCAGGCAGGCGGAUCCAUAAGUUUAUCGUUUAAGGCGUCGGCUUAACCGGCGUAGGGCGGUAGAUACUGUGGAUCUGGAAUGCGGUUGGGGAAGACAGAAUUCCUGGUGUAGCGGUGGAAUGCGCAGAGAUCAGGAGGAAUACCGAAGGCGAAGGCAGUCUUCCAAGCCGUUAUUGACGCUCAACUGCGAAGGUGUGGGUAUCAAACAGGAUUAGAUACCCUGGUAGU
rnacentral:rRNA from 1 species